ACAGAGCUUUUUGUGACGCAUUAGCAGAAGAAAACAACAAAGUUAACCAAGGACUAAUGUCUAACAUGGGAUCCAACUUGCAGACCCAAAUGCCUGACAUCAUGUCCUCGAUGCCCUUAACCAGCACCAAUGCCAACAGCACAUCUGUUGGGAUAUCAGAUUUCAACAGCUUUGAUCCCAAGAACUCUCUCAAAUCCCUUCCUCAAGAGCUCGUGCCUAUGCCAUUCAAGUCCAUGAACAUGGCAGCUGGAGGAGGCAUGUUUUCG
rnacentral:misc_RNA from 1 species